rnacentral:RNase_P_RNA from 1 species
UGGGUUGGCCAGGCGGUCGCGUGGAAAGACUUCGGUUCUUCCACGAGGAACGUCCGGGCUCCGCAGGGCAGGGUGGUGGGUAACGCCCACUCGGGGUAACCCGCAGGAAAGUGCCACAGAAAACAGACCGCCCCGAUGGCUUCGUCCAGACGGGGUAAGGGUGAAACGGUGGUGUAAGAGACCACCAGCGCACCGGGUAACCGGAGCGGCUAGGUAAACCCCACCCGGAGCAAGGCCAGACAGGACACGUUUGAGGACUGCCCGUCCGAGUGUCCGGGUAGGCCGCUGGAGGGCGCCGGUAACGGCGUUCGUAGAUAGAUGGCCGCCACUGCAGGUCCUCACCGAACUGCAGGACAGAACCCGGCGUAUCGGCCAACCCAUCCC